CGCAACUCAAUGAAUUGGAGUUGUCAUUGCAGGUUUGCAGGUCGCAGAUUGCAGAUUGUAUCCGGACUUCGAUGACGAACGCUAUCAUUUAUGGUCUUGCGUGGACACAUAACGUGCCCGUGCUUCAGGCGGAACAGCUGUUCCUUGCUGGGCAACCCUUACAUCCAAGUGAAAGGGAGGAAUUUAAAAGGAAGCUCCAAAAACAACUGCUCCAACAAAGGAGACACUGAGGGA